UUGGGGGGUGAAAAUAGUGGGAACUCGUUUUCAAAUUGUGAAUUGUUAUUGUUAAUGUAAUAAAUAUAUGCAGCUGAUGUCACGCAAUAUGCACAAAUUGGGGCAAGCAUAGACGCUUUACAAAGUCAACGUUGAGGAAAUUGGCCAUCAGUGUGAGCACCGAUUUCUUAGGUGGUCGACAAUGCCGCAAUCCCGCCUCCUGACAGCACACAUUGGGAAAGCAGUCCAGCGUGGAUGUGCAGGCCUUUGGAUGCAGAUCAAAGAUGGGCGGCGGCGGCGCCGUGCACUCCAAGUACUCCGACACUGCGAGAGGGAAAAGAAGCAGUUCAGUGUUGUGAAGUGCGAGUAUUUUCAGUUUCAGUGCUUACGAUAAUCAAAGGAGCGCUUGACUGGCACUGGAACUGUUUCCAACUCUGGCUGUGAGGUGCGACAGUAUCGUCGACGUCCAUCUGGGCAACAGACGCGUGGCCAGCAAUCCAUGUCUGUGCGACAUUCCUGCACAUCCCACCAGAGUUCGGCCAGCGGACGAGUCGGGCACUUGCGAGGCAAAUAACAAACGUGCGUGUGCCGUCUCCUCUAGCGGUUUAGCAAUACCAGCCACGCAGCUGUUGGCGCCAAAGAUGUCGCAGCAGAUUUCGUCUCGCUGCCAGACCACACAAUCCUUGUCCGUCUUGCAGAUCUUGGGGAACAACUGGAAACGUACUUCGUUCUCCCGCGGGCAAUUGAAACGCUGUCGUAGAUCGGCAGCAGCUCGUUUAUCCUUCUCCUUAUCCUUG